GAUUCCGGCGCGAAUCGUCCUUUCCCGUCGUGGCGUCACGCCAAGUUCUAGAUGGAUGUCGCUGAUCCGCAUUAUUGUGUCAGCGAUUUACGUCGUCGCGCAGGUGCUCCUCGCUCGUCCAUCCCUCGUGGAAGGGCGGCAAGCGAGGAAUCUGGGAUUACCGGGACAGACAUCGGGUCAUCAUCACGGUACGCAGGAUGCAUCAUUAUCGGACAGUUACAAUAACAACUCCGAAUUGCCCCGAUUCGCCGAGGAGAUCCAAAACGUGACAGUAAGCGUGGGACGUGAUGCCCUGUUGGCUUGCGUGGUGGAUAACCUACGACAUUAUAAGGUGGCAUGGGUGCGCGUCGACACGCAAACUAUACUGUCGAUUCAUCAGAACGUAAUUACUCAGAAUCCCCGAAUCACGUUAUCGUACAAUGAUCACCGCUCGUGGUAUCUUCAUAUAAAGGAAGUUCAAGAAGUUGAUCGCGGGUGGUACAUGUGCCAGGUGAAUACGGAUCCAAUGAAGAGUCGUCAGGGUUACGUACAAGUUGUAGUACCUCCGUCGAUUAUUACCAAAGAGACUAGCACCGACAUGGUGGUCCGCGAGGCUUCCAAUGUAACGUUGACGUGCAAAGCGACCGGAUAUCCGGAGCCUUACGUCAUGUGGCGACGGGAGGACGGGCAGAACAUAAAUUAUAAUGGCGAGAGUGUGAAUGUCGUGGAUGGCGAAGUGCUGCAUAUCGUGAAGAUAAGCCGUCUUCACAUGGGAGCUUAUUUAUGCAUAGCUUCAAACGGCGUUCCGCCAUCGGUGAGCAAGCGCGUCUCGCUACGUGUGCAAUUUCCACCCAUGCUCUCUAUACCAAAUCAGUUGGAAGGCGCGUAUAUUGGACAAGACGUUACCCUUGAGUGUCACACCGAAGCUUACCCGAACUCGAUAAAUUAUUGGACAACCGAACGCGGUGACAUGAUAGUCUCUGGCAAUUCUGUUUCAGGCGACAAGUACGACGCGGUAGCCACCGACAGUGGUUACAACAGGUAUAUGAUACUGAAGAUAAGGAACGUCGGCCCGAAAGAUUUCGGUUCGUACAAAUGUAUCGCACAAAAUUCUCUCGGCGGAACGGAUGGUGUCAUCAAACUAGAUGAAAUCCCAGCUCCGUCGACAACAACCACGACGCAGCAGCCGUACGACGUAACAUUGGCGCACAACAAUGGUAGAAACAGUAACAAGAAAUCACAACAAAAUCAACGACCUUACGACUACGAGGUCGAGGAAUGGCGAAAUCAAGUGUUUUCAUCGAUUCCGAUUUCUAUUGCAAGAGGUAGACUUCGCGCGUUAACGACUUGAAGCACUUCACAGAUCCUUAUAUUAUACAAGCCAGCUGACGGAGAUUGGCGGCAGAAUGCAAGUUCAAAACUCACUUGGAAUGACUUUGUUCAAAGAUUCCCCGGAGCGCGUCGGGCCAGCUUUCCCUUCCUGAAGUUUACUUUCAAUUAAUGAAAAACGAGCUGCGUUGACCCGCGGCCGUCUGCUGCCUCCGGUAUCAGGAAGUGGAAAGGAGGAAAUGGAGAGAGGCAAACUCCUCUGUUAUCUUUUUUUCUCACUCGCCAUGUCUUUUCCCUUCCCUUCUCUAAAAAUCGAUUGACUUCAAGAGCCUUGCCUCGUAAGUUCGAGUGUACCUUCAAGCGAUUUCCAAGCCACUGAAAUAUAAUCAAUGGUAAGAGAAUGUACAGACUAAAGCGCCAGUAAAGAUGUUGUUAAAGUGUUGGAAAAUGGCUCGUCUGUCGCCGACCAUGCGGAAAGUCACGUACAGUGGAUUUUACUGGUAGGUGGGAAUAACUUUUUCCGAACGGACGUGCGGUUUCGACGUCCGUUUCUGGCGCGCAAGCCAAGGGGCACGAUGAACUACUCUCGAGAAACGCCCUGCAUUUGGGACGACUAUCUGCCAGUGCUGAGAAAAAGGGCACAAAAAAAGGACAUUUUUCUCAAGUCGUUACCCUUUGACUUUUUGCGGAGAACAAAUUUUGAUAAUAUCAUUCUAAACGCUCUAAAUAUCUUGUUAAGAAAUAAGAGAAAUUCUCUAGAAAAUAAAUAAUUUUAGUUCAAACUAUA